CCUCAGUCCUCGGAUCCAUUCACAAGUCACAAUUAUUUCAUUUUCAUAAAACACAAGAAAUACAUUGCUGCACAACUCCUACCAACAACACUAGAAUCAUUCAAAUCCUCUCAAUUUUCAUCUCAUAUACAUAUUUCUGAAUUCUGACGAGUUUUAACGUGUUGGUGAUAUAGCUGAUAUAAAGCUUCGAUCGGGACUUGUAAUAUCUUUUUUCUCAAAUUGUUGCUGGAGGUUUGG